rnacentral:piRNA from 1 species
UACCAUAGCUCAUGAAUGUUCUGUAACCUA